GAUGAAGAACGUAGCGAAAUGCGAUAAGAAAUGCGAAUUGCAGAAUUUCCGUGAGUCAUCGAAUCUUUGAACGCACAUUGCGCCCACUGGUAUUCCGGUGGGCAUGCCUGUUCGAGCGUCAUUAUCCUCCCUCAAACCCCGGGUUUGGUGUUGGACCCAAGUUGUGUGAACAACUGGUCUCAAAGACAAUGACGGCGUCCGUGGGACCCUCGGUGCAACGAGCUUUUAGGAGCACGCGCCGAGUUGCAAGGACCUUCCGGGCCGGUCUCCUUUACUAUUUUACAAGGUUGACCUCGGAUCAGGUAGGAAUACCCGCUGAACUUAAGCAUAUCAAUAAGCGGAGGA
rnacentral:misc_RNA from 1 species